GAUGAAGAACGUAGCGAAAUGCGAUAAGUAAUGUGAAUUGCAGAAUUCAGUGAAUCAUCGAAUCUUUGAACGCACCUUGCGCCUUUUGGUAUUCCGAAAGGCACACCUGUUUGAGCGUCAUGAAUACCUCAAUCUCCAUCUUUUCUUCGGAUUGAUGGGUGACUUGGAUGUUGAGCCAUGCUGGUAUGCUAUAUCAGCUGGCUUUAAACUUAUUAGCCGGCUCUGUACUGGAUCGGUUUGACUCGACGUGAUAAUAUUAUCGUUGAGGAUGCAUGUCUCAUGCAGCCGGAAAGUAUCAAAGCAGCUUCUAGCUUGCCUUUAGUGCACUUUUACAUUUUAGACCUCAGAUCAGGUGGGACUACCCGCUGAACUUAAGCAUAUCAAUAAGCGGAGGA
rnacentral:misc_RNA from 1 species